AUUAAUUAUGUUCCCCUACAGGAUAAUUUCUUUGAGUAUGAACUCUGACAGCCUUCAUCAAGCAGUAUAGAGAUGGUUUGGGGUCUCUGAUUAGCCUGAUUGACUCCCCCAGAUGUGUUGGUUUCUCCUUUGAAGGUCCAGCAGCUCUCUGUGUCACUGAUGGUGCCUGUUGUGAUUGACUGUUUCAGUGUACUGAAGAGUCUGGCAGACAUAUAGUUACUGGAGCUGGCAAGCCCCAGCUAGAAAUUUGUCUUACGGAUCUGGAAGAAGAUCAUGCUUUACUCCAAUUAAGGUAUUCAAGAAUUUUUGAGGACUGCAGUAUAUGGAAUAUGACUAGAUACUAACCUUUGAAAAUGUAAAAUCUGCUGUUGCUGGUUUUCUUAGAGCAACUUCCUUAAAACAAUUUGAAACUUCAAAAGAGCACAACUGUAUAAGUAGUAACAGGAAUUCUUUAUUUUAUGAAUGAAAGAGCUUAGAAUUAGGAUGUGGAUUUGAAGAUGCAGCCAACACGAAAACUAACUAGAAACAAUGAUGGCAACCACAGAUGUGCUGGUGGAAAAGUUGUUUCUCUUGUUGGAGUUAGUAGAGCAUGUCUGCGCAACCAAGAACACAUGGAGAGGAGAACACAAGAGAUAACACUUUUUUUUGUCACUGACAUACCAUCAAAAAAAAAAAAAAAAAAAAAAAGCACUGCAGAAUAAAAGGGACUUAAGAAUUCUGAUUUUAUCAGCUCCAAGUUUCUCCCUGUUGUCUCGUCCCAUCUUCAGAUCAUUGUUUGAAGUUGACUGUUUUUCUGGCCCCCGACUCAUUGGCCUUUCCUGCCAGCAGAGGGUGCCAAAAGAACACGUGGUAUCUACAAAUGAAGACUCCAGGGUUGAACUGGUUCUGUACCCAUCAUUUUGAAUCAAGGUCUUCCUCUGAAGCAAGUUGGAUAAAAGAACUUGUUUGCAGUGGCAGCAUGCAGGAUAAUUUGGUGUUUCUUUGAAUUUGUAAGAGAAGGAUGGAGAAUGGGCCUGAACAGCUUCGAUGGCUUUCCAUGUCCUCACCAGUCUUAUGGCUGCCAUUAAAACAGCUCCUGGCCCUUCUUGCAUUGCCACCAAACCACCUUUUUAAGUGUGGUACAGAGCCCUUCCUCUGGUUUAGUUUUUUCUUUGUGUGUCUCUUCUUCCUUUCUCCCAGUUACAAAAAUCUUCAAGAGUAUUCUGUAACAGCAAAGGAAGCACCUAAAUGACUCUUUUUGUGUCUCUCCAACCUGGCUAUUAGCUUCAGCUGAUGCUUCCUUCAUAUCAGAAAUGGCCGUGAACCAUUGAUCUUUAUGCACUGGGUUGGUGGUGUUUCAUUUUUAGCCCUCAGUUACAUCCUUCCUGAUACAUCGCUGUUCUU
rnacentral:lncRNA from 1 species